rnacentral:rRNA from 1 species
GUAGGGAAUAUUGGGCAAUGGAUGCAAGUCUGACCCAGCCAUCCCGCGUGCCGGAAGAAGGCCCUCAGGGUUGUAAACGGCUUUUGACGGUGAAGAAUCGACAGGAUGCGUCCUGUUUUGACGGUAGCCGUUGAAUAAGCACCGGCUAACUCCGUGCCAGCAGCCGCGGUAAUACGGAGGGUGCGAGCGUUGUCCGGAUUUAUUGGGUUUAAAGGGUGCGUAGGCUGGAAGAUCAGUCAGCGGUGAAAAGCUGUCGCUUAACGAUAGUCUUGCCGCAGAUACUUCCUUUCUUGGAUGAGGAGGAGGCCACUGGAACGGAUGGUGUAGCGGUGAAAUGCAUAGAUAUCAUCCAGAACACCGAUUGCGAAGGCAGGUGGCUGUACCUUAAUCGACGCUGAUGCACGAAAGCAUGGGGAGCAAACAGGAUUAGAAACCCUUGUAGUCC